rnacentral:snRNA from 1 species
AAAAGGGCAAUCUGGCUGCAACACUUGUCACCUCAUCAGUCACCAGGGUUGAUUUGGCUGAUCUGGCUGGCUAGGCGGGUGUGCCUUUCCUCCCUCACCACUCCAUGUGUGUCCUUCCUGAAACUGCACAUUCAGUUGAAGAGGAUGACCACCCCUGAUAGAGGAGGACCAUUUCCUCGGUCAAGGUUAUACCAGUUGCUGCACUCCCCUGCUAGAACCUCCAUACAAGUUCCCAAAAGGGAGGUUAAAUCAGCAUAUAUGUUUGUAAAGACAUUUUAGCAAUAUUGAUGAAUGUACUG